AUUGAACGCUGGCGGCAGGCCUCACACAUGCAAGUCGAACGAGUGGCGGACGGGUGAGUAAUGUCUGGGAAACUGCCUGAUGGAGGGGGCUAACUACUGGAAACGGUAGCUAAUAACGCAUACCAUCGGAUGUGCCCAGAUGGGAUUAGCUGGUAGGUGGGGGAACUGCUAACCUAGGCGACGAUCCCUAGCUGGUCUGAGAGGAUGACCAGCCACACUGGAACUGAGACACGGUCCAUACUCCUACGGGAGGCAGCAGUGGGGAAUAUUGCACAAUGGGCGCAAGCCUGAUGCAGCCAUGCCGCGUGUAUGAAGAAGGCCUUCGGGUUGUAAAGUACUUUCAGCGAGGAGGCGUUACUCGCAGAAGAAGCACCGGCUAACUCCGUGCCAGCAGCCGCGGUAAUAC
rnacentral:rRNA from 1 species